GAUGAACGCUGGCGGCGUGCCUAAUACAUGCAAGUCGAGCGAACAGACGAGGAGCUUGCUCCUCUGACGUUAGCGGCGGACGGGUGAGUAACACGUGGUUAACCUACCUAUAAGACUGGGAUAACUUCGGGAAACCGGAGCUAAUACCGGAUAAUAUAUUGAACCGCAUGGUUCAAUAGUGAAAGACGGUUUUGCUGUCACUUAUAGAUGGAUCCGCGCCGCAUUAGCUAGUUGGUAAGGUAACGGCUUACCAAGGCAACGAUGCGUAGCCGACCUGAGAGGGUGAUCGACCACACUGGAACUGAGACACGGUCCAGACUCCUACGGGAGGCAGCAGUAGGGAAUCUUCCGCAAUGGGCGAAAGCCUGACGGAGCAACGCCGCGUGAGUGAUGAAGGUCUUCGGAUCGUAAAACUCUGUUAUUAGGGAAGAACAAAUGUGUAAGUAACUAUGCACGUCUUGACGGUACCUAAUCAGAAAGCCACGGCUAACUACGUG
rnacentral:rRNA from 1 species